GAAGCUCGCUAGGCCGUCGCUGGUGCAAUCUGGGAAACCAGGCACUGGAGGAACGUCCGGACUGCGUAGGACAGCGUAAGAGGUAACACCUCUCCACCGUGAGGUGAGGAUUAGAGCAACAGAGACGAGCCGAUUUAGUUCGGGUGAAACGGGCAAUCUCUACGCGCAGCAAUACCAAGUAGGCCAGCCCCGAGGGCGCGGUUCGCCGCGUUCCUUGAUCUUGUGGUCCGCAGGAAUGGUUGGCGGGUAGGUAGCACCGAGCCGAGUGGGCAACCCUCGGCCCAGAUUAAUGACGGUCACGCCGUGGGCAACCACGGUGCACAGAAUCCGGCGUAUCGGCGAGCUUCACAC
rnacentral:RNase_P_RNA from 1 species